UCCCUCAAAGAGCUGGAAAUAGGAUACUGUCCUAGUGUUCAAUAUUUUCCUGAGAUAAACUUUCCAGACAACUUAACAUCCCUUUGGAUCAAUGACCAUAAUGCCUUUGAAGCAAUGUUCAACUGGGGUUUAUACAAGCUCUCUUUCCUUAGGGACCUCACCAUCAUAGGUGGAAGUUUGUUUAUGUCACCCGGAAAGCUGGGGAAAAUGCUUCCCUCCUCCCUAACUAGCCUCACUAUUCAAAGUUUUCCACACUUGAAAGACCUGUCAUUAGAGGACUUCCAUAAACUUACCUCUUUAUCUAGCCUAACCCUAAGAGAUCUCUCAAAUCUAAAAUUCCUACCAUUCUUGGGGUUUAAAUACCUUACCUGUCUUGAAGAACUUUCUAUUUAUAACUGUCCCAAGCUAUCAUGUUUACCAAAAACUGGCCUUCCUUCGUCACUUUUGGAGCUAUAUAUACAAGACUGCCCUAUUCUGAAAGAACAGUGCAGCAAAGGAAAAGGGAAAGACUGGUUGAAGAUUGCUGACAUCCCUUAUGUUGAGAUUGAUGGAAAACUUAUCUAUGACUCAGAUUAUGAGGAUUGAAUUUUGACUAGCUUUAUCACAAGAUUUAGCAUAGUAGUAUCUAUUUCACACUAUGGGAGGACCUGUUGGCGAGUUGUCUUACUAUGGUCAGAUCUUGAGACUGGAAAAGGCUACAUGGGUAAUGAAUUAUCCAUGGUUCCAGGAAUUCCUCUAUUCCAACCUCAAGUCCACUGGAUUUAUUAGAGACAGGCAUCUAUGGUAUUGUCUGUUUAUAAACUAUCCUUAAUUUCAACUUCUAAGUGAUGUACAACUUACAUUCGAGAACAUCCUCUAUUUUGGUAUUUGAUGUAAGGUUUGGUUUGAGACUUCAUUCCAAUCCAUGAGCCUUGCAAGUUUCUGCUCUUAAGUAUUCUGGUUCUGCACUAAGCACCAACUUCAUAUAUAUUCAAAAGAUGUGUACUGCAUUAUAGCAACUAUGAAGAGCAUGUGUAUAUCCAUUAAAUACACCUAGUCCAUUACACUGUAUAUGUUAUUUUGAAAUAGUUGAAUUGAAAACAACGUCGCCCUGCU